rnacentral:rRNA from 1 species
UACGUAGGGUGCAAGCGUUAAUCGGAAUUACUGGGCGUAAAGCGUGCGCAGGCGGUUAUGUAAGACAGGUGUGAAAUCCCAGGGCUUAACCUUGGAACUGCAUUUGUGACUGCAUGGCUAGAGUACGGUAGAGGGGGAUGGAAUUCCGCGUGUAGCAGUGAAAUGCGUAGAUAUGCGGAGGAACACCGAUGGCGAAGGCAAUCCCCUGGACCUGUACUGACGCUCAUGCACGAAAGCGUGGGGAGCAA